UGUAUCGUGUUGAAUAUCUGCGAGCGGC
rnacentral:piRNA from 1 species